rnacentral:rRNA from 1 species
ACGGGGGGUGCUAGCGUUGUUCGGAAUCAUUGGGCGUAAAGAGCGUGUAGGCGGCUAUGUAAUUCAGAUGUGAAAUUUCUGGGCUUAGCCCAGGACGUGCAUUGGAAACUGUUUAACUUGAGUAGGGAAGAGGUAAGUGGAUUUCCUGGUGUAGCGGUGAAAUGCGUAGAUAUUGGGAGGAACACCAGUGGCGAAGGCGGCUUACUGGGCUGUAACUGACACUGAGGCGCGAAAGAGAGGGGAGCAAACGG